AAGAAAUGUGAUCUGACGCAGGUCCCUCUGACUGCAUGUGGGAAGCAGACUGCAGGUGUGAGGGUGGAAGCAGGAAAACCAAGGACUGGCUGCUGCCGUGAAUCAGAAGAAGACAAGGAUGGACAAGAUCAGAGUGGGAGCAGAGAGCGGCGUCAGGGGUCAACAGAUUCUGCUUAAGACAAAAGUACUCAGAGUGCAGUGCAGAUUUAGGGGAUUCCAGCCCUAUUUCUUGGAAUCCUGGCACCAUCUCCUGCUUCCGAGAUACUUUGCCUGCCAGCUUGCUCUGAAGACCUGAAAUUGGCGCUAUUGAACUCAGCCAGAACAGAGGGAUCAAGUUUGAAAUAUUGAGAUAAAUGCAAAUCCAGAGACUAAACCGCAGAGAUCUGGAUAAAGAAAACAGAUCGCAAGACAGAAGGAAGCCAGGAAUGUGGGGACACUGUAAUCAGAAGAGCAAAAGCCCAGGGGAGACAUUCCCUCCCCCCUACUCACAAACUUACCCACACACCCUUGUUUGGAGUCAACGUCACCAUCCCAUCCUGGAAGAAGAUGUGGACCUGGCCUGCAGCCUCAGUUUUGCCACGGCAGAUCUGGACUUCAGCAACUACACGGUACCAGGGGAUGGUAUUCUGUAGUCCUGGGCAGCGGGAAGAGAGCUCAUAGACACCAGGAGAGGUGGUGGCACCACGGGCCCCAUCAAAGGUGGUGAGGUUGGCACCCACAGACAGGACACAGAGACCACGGGUGGCCCAGCAGUUCCGGGCUUCAGCCUUGACCUCACAUACACGGCCUGGUGGGCAGCCAGCUGCCUGGCAUGUCAGGCUGGAGCUUAAGGAACAGGAACAGCGCUCGCUGCAGUCUGAGAAUCCUGCCCAGCCACCAGGAGAACAAGCCUGGGCUAGUUCCCUAGAAGAUGAGUGACCCCAUGGAACAUAGAUAACUCUUCCAGCUCAGGCCACCCUAGACCAGGCAGCCUUCAGCUGACCCACCAGGCGACUACAGAUAUUAUACAUGAGUAAGCCCAGAGGAUAGCAGAAGAACCGCCCA